CCUUGAGGCAGAAGGGCAGCCAUUCCGGGGAGCACUCCACUGGGUCCCCAGAUCUAACAUGUCAAGAUUAAGACCUGAGGAUUUGGAGGCUGAGAGGCAAGAAAGGGAGCAUCCGAGUCACCCUAAAGAGAGAGUGGAGAGAAGAGGAUAUUGUGGCAAAGAAUUCUCCUAGUUUUGCUCUCAGAGCUGAGCUUUGAUCCAUUGGAAUGCCUGUGAUCUUUAGGACUUCUUCUACUCCUCUCUGGAAGUCUAUUCUCCAACUCGAAAUUUGGUUUUCAGUCUCAUUCUGUGAUUGAGGCCACCGAAGAGUCACAAAGUUUUGCAAUAGAGAUUUCAUCUUGACCAUAUUCAAGUGAUUUUCUAUAUUACAACUGAAAUACAAUGUUUGUAUCCAAGUUCUACAUGAUCAGGCAAGUGCCUACCUCUGUGACCUUAUCUUUUUACUCACCCUCCUCUUCCAUCACAGAAGGAUAUUUGUCUCCUGGCUGCUUCUCCUGCAUGCAAAGCACGCCUUUGUACUAGCCUUGUACUUGCUGUCUCCACUACCUGGACCAUUCUUCUCCCAUGUUCACAUGCCCUGAUCAUAUCAUUAGAUCUGGGCCCUAAUGUCAUUUUCUUAGAGGGACUUUCUUUAACUACCCUAUUUAAUAGUAGGGACUUUUUGUCUUCUUAGUUUGCUUUAUUUUUCUGCAUGUUGUGUAUCACUGGCUGAUAUUAAAUUAUGCAUUUACUUACUUGUUUUUUCUUUUUUUUACUUUCUCCUUCAUUAGAAUGUAAGCUGCACAAAGGAGUGAUUUUAGCUGUCUUGCAUGCUGCUCUAUUGCCUGCACUUUAAACAAUGCCUGACAUCCAGCAAGUGCUCAAUACAUAUUUUCUGAGUGAAGAAUAAAUAAAAGAAUGAAUGAAUCAAAGAGUCUAGUCUUCAACCUCUUGAAGAAAAAGGCAGGGUAUGGGGCAGAGAGAAAACCAAGAGGACACACUUUUGCAGUACCCUCCUUCAGCUACAGAGACAACAGUCAUCAUUUUACUGACUCUGAUCUUCCCAACCGUUAGCACAAGGGCUCAAAGGGUUCAGGCCAUUGCACAGACCUUUGCUUCCUACCAAGUAGCCUUGGGUACACUCCAUUUAGUCUAUAGGCUAAGUGUUGAUUUUGGUAUGAUUGUUGGGUAAACCAUAAGA
rnacentral:lncRNA from 1 species